GCCAGUGUAGUGUAGUGGUUUGACUUUGGGCCUGUGACUCCAGGAGAACAGGGUUCAAAUCCCUGCUCAGCCA